rnacentral:rRNA from 1 species
AGAUUGAACGCUGGCGGCAUGCCUUACACAUGCAAGUCGAACGGCAGCACGGGAGCAAUCCUGUGGCGAGUGGCGAACGGGUGAGUAAUAUAUCGGAACGUGCCCAGUCGUGGGGGAUAACGCAGCGAAAGCUGUGCUAAUACCGCAUACGAUCUAUGAUGAAAGCGGGGGAUCGCAAGACCUCGCGCGAUUGGAGCGGCCGAUAUCGAGA